GCCCAGGGGCGGGAAUCGAACCCACAACCUUCUGCUUACCGGGCAGGUGCCAUGUCCACUAGGCUACCCUGGA